UGUUCUCAAUCAUGGAGUUCAACUAUCCACGCUCAGGUAUUAGGUUUGAAACCCUAGAAGUGGUAGAUUAGAUCUAUUACUGAAUACUGUUUUUGGUUCACAUGCUUGUUAUUUUAGAUUCAGAUUUUUAUGCAUAUAAAUUUAUAUCAUCAAUCCAUUUGUAAGAGUUUUAAGAUCAAAUAUUAUGUAUGUAUUUAUAG
rnacentral:lncRNA from 1 species